rnacentral:tmRNA from 1 species
GGGGAUGUAAAGGUUUCGACGGGGAUCUUGAAACGGGAUAAGCGGGCAGAGAAUGUGUCAAUCUCUUUAAACGGCACACGUUUUAAAAUUAGACGACAACAAUAAUUUUGCUUUAGCUGCCUAAGUGCGGCUCGUCAGCUCCGUAGUACCGCGGACGGAUGACUGGCGUCGACAGCGGUGAACGUCAUACGGGAUCGUCUGCGCCCGUAUUGAUGUAUUGCAGACUACUGAGCAUUGCGGCGUGUUUGUCUGCCGCUCUGCGAGGGAACGUUAAUGACAAACUACGCCCGUAGAAAGUCGCGCGGAUUGGUUUUCGGACACGGGUUCGAUUCCCGUCAUCUCCACCA